CAAUUUCAUUUUGCUCAUCUUAAUGUUCAGUUUAUACAUUAAACACCUUUGUGAUUAUCUUUUCCUCCCCACCAAAUAUGCUGUACAAAAAAAUAUUCCCUAUGUGUAUGUUUUUUCUUCAUACCUCUAGAUGACACAUUUAGUGUUUGUUUAUUUGUAAAGUAAUUGAAAGAUAGGGCAAUAAAAAUGUCUACCGAAUGUAAUGUGUAUAGUAGCUGAUGCCAACUUCUAUUGCAGUUUUUAAUAUUGGACCUGUACUGAAGUAUUAAAAACUUGUCCUCCGUUUA